CUGUCCACGUCCCUACAAAACUGGGUUAAUGGGUUCCUACACACUCCAUGUUAUCAGCGGUUACCUUCCCCACGUGGCCUACAAUUACCUCAUUUGAAUCCACUCGUCAAAACCGCCUCUUCUUUCGGAUCCCCACUCUCCUGUUUUCAUGCUAACAGUUUCAUUAUAUAUUCGCGUUCCACUAUAAUCUUCUUUUCUGGACUCAAGUGGUGCCAUCGAUGGUUUCCAUGCUAGAAGGCAUACUGUUAAAUCGUCCCUCCUGUUUGUUAAACAACCGCCAUCACAGGCUUCUACAAAAUGAGUUCUGGAUGGAACAAGGGCCACGAUUUCCGUCGAAGCAACCAGUACCGAUUGAUUAUAUGUUAAUCGCGAUUCAAGCAAAUACACCAUUUCCAUCACCAAAAAAACCAGGUAAAUUUUUUAAGUUUUGACUUAUAACUUAUCGAUUUGGAUGUUACAAAUGCAACUUACAAAUUCUGGAAGUGAAGGAAAGCUUUCCCAGUAUGUUAUUAGUCGAAGCUCUGUAAGUACAUUAUCGUUUCUUCAUGUAAUUUAAUUAUUUAUUUGUUAUGCUUCGUAUCUAAAACAGUUGAAUAAGAUAUGUUAAUACUAUUUAAAUUGCUAAUGUGUAUUUAACCUACAUAAUGUUGGAUUAUCAAACAUUGAAGCCUCUUUGAAGCAAUCAUAUAGCUUUUAUGCUGGAUUUGAUGGCACUUCGGGGCUGUCACUACAAUAAACUGGAGCAUUAGCGAAGACAUAUAGCAUGUCGCCCCUAAUGCCAUAAAUUAUUGUAUCGAUACUAUUGUUAUAGUUAUGUCAUUUUAUAAUUAUUUUUGUUAUAUUAAUUGUAUAUUGUAUAUUCGUCUAUGUUAAAAAAGAGCCCCCUCGUAAGGGUUUAUUUUUAUUGAGACUAAUAUCUCCACAUAGACCAAAAAAAUAUAAAGUGAGAUCCACAUAAACAAAAAAAAAACAACAAAAAAAUAUAAAGUGAGAUGCUUUUAGUACUGGUUUAUGUUGUAUUUUUGUUUUAAAGCAUUACGAUUGUUGUGUGUUCCAUG